UACGUAGGGGGCGAGCGUUGUCCGGAUUCAUUGGGCGUAAAGAGCUCGUAGGCGGCUUGGCAAGUCGGGUGUGAAACCUCCAGGCUCAACCUGGAGACGCCACCCGAUACUGCUAUGGCUAGAGUCCGGUAGGGGACCACGGAAUUCCUGGUGUAGCGGUGAAAUGCGCAGAUAUCAGGAGGAACACCGGUGGCGAAGGCGGUGGUCUGGGCCGGCACUGACGCUGAGGAGCGAAAGCGUGGGGAGCGAACAGG
rnacentral:rRNA from 1 species